CCAAUAGCGUAUAUUAAAGUUGUUGCAGUUAAAAAGCUCGUAGUUGAAUUUUGGAAUCAAUAGGUUGGUCAUGCCAUUCGGUGUGUACUGGCUUAAUUGGUUCUCACCUUCUAAGGAACUGUGAUGUCAUUAAUUUGGUGUCGCGGGAAAUUAGGACUGUUACCUUGAAAAAAUUAGAGUGUUUAAAGCAAGCUCAUGCUCGAAUACAUUAGCAUGGAAUAAUGAAAUAGGACAUCGUAUUCUAUUUUGUUGGUUUCUAGGAUCGAUGUAAUGAUUAAUAGGGAUAGUUGGGGGCAUUAGUAUUCAAUUGUCAGAGGUGAAAUUCUUGGAUUUAUUGAAGACUAACUACUGCGAAAGCAUUUGCCAAGGAUGUUUUCAUUAAUCAAGAACGAAAGUUAGGGGAUCGAAGACGAUCAGAUACCGUCGUAGUCUUAACCAUAAACUAUGCCGACUAGGGAUCGGAUGAUGUUAAUUUUAUAGUGACUCAUUCGGCACCUUACG
rnacentral:rRNA from 1 species